UCUGCUCUCUAUUUCGCAACGUUAACUCUUCUCCUCCCACAACUAACGGUCAGCGAGAGUUGAAAUUUCAAAAUUCAAUUCUUCAAAUCCCCUUUGAAGAAAAAAACGAGUUAGGGUUUUACGUGAUCACAUGGAGAAGCGAUUUUGUUUUUCUAUCUUCUUCUGAUUUUGAUUCUUUUCUCCGAUCAAUUGAAUGGCGUCUCUGAUUGAUACAAGGAUUAAAACUUGUCUAUUGGUUUGAAUUCGGAUCGUGUGAUAGUCCUACCAAAUCGAAGAAGGCAAUCAAGUGGCAAUUCAUAUCUCAAUUUGGAGACUGGAACAAAAUUUGUGUUCUUCGUUUUACAGCAUGAUCGUAAAUAUUAAGAGUAAACAGAUUAGCAAGCAGUCAGAUUUUGGCUCUAUGCAGUAUUUUCAAGUGAAAUUUUGGCUUCGCAAGCAAAAGCAAAUGAGGGGUCGUUUCUCCUGCCUCAUGCAGAUAAUUUUGAGGUUUGAUUUUGUAGCCAAGAGCAUAUGCGAGGUCAGAUAUCUCUCUCUCUGUUCUCAUGUCUAUUGCGUCAUGCCUAUCAUCUCUCUCUCUUUUAUAUUAUCUUAAUGUGUUCUCAUGAGUGAGAUUGUUUUCCUAACUUUGAUAGUUAUAUUUUUCAGUUGGGUUCUCAUUAUGCGUCAAUUUUACAGUAAGUAGAUAGUAAGCAGUCAGAUUUUGGCUCUGUAAGACUCUUACCAAGUUUUUUUUUCUUGGCAUUGGUUUUGUGGUUUCGUCUAUUGUUGUACUUUCAGGUGGCUCAGUAAGCAAAAGCAAAUGGGGUCGUGUCUCCUGCUUCACGGUCCAGAGAUCAAAAAUUUCGAAGGUGAUUUUGUAGUCAAGAGCAUAUGAGAGGUUAGAUAUCUCUCCCUCUAUUCUCAUGUCUUUUGUGUCAUGCAUAGAUUCUCUGAGUCAUCUAUUGUGUCUUGGCUUGUUUGGGUUACUCACACAGUCACACUAUCUAGAAACACACACGUUCACAGACACAAUGCACUAACUCAAAACAAACCCAAAACAAAACUCAAACAUAACAUACACAAAACUCAAACACAACACAAAGAAAAAGUUCACAUCACACGCAACAAAACUCUAAACACACGCAAACACAACAUAACACAAGAAUUAAAAUACAGCACAACAUAAAACUAGACACAAGAAAGAGAGAAAACAACAAUAACUUCACGAUUCAUAUCUUUUCUGUUGCUAAGUCAAUUUCAGGUGAAGUAUCUUUCUCUUCUCAUUUUCUUUCCUUUCUUGGUCUCUUACAACUAUUAAUCAUUUUUUUGGUCACAUUGACGCUUGGUACGUUUAGUGAAGAAUUUCGUACUUUGAUGUUAUUCCAAAAGAGAAAUACAAAGCCACUACAAGCAAAAACGGUGUCCUGCAUACAAAAUUUAUUCAGAUAUCAGAUAUAUGUUUCUUUCCAUACAUAUCAGGGAUGCUCGGUGAUGAUUCAAAAUCCAAGAUAUAAACUAGACUUCUAAGAAACAACAGGAGAAAAGUAGCCGAAUACCGACAUUGGAUCCGACUUUGUAAGAUUUGCAGUAAGUUUCUUCACUAGCAUUAUUUUUCUGGUUUAAUUUUACAGUCUUAUGUAUUUAGUAACUGCUAUUAGAAUGGCUUUGUAUCAUCAUGAUGGAGGACUUUUAAGCUGAAAAUAACUAAACUUAGGAAAGUGAUUCAAUUGCCUCGGAAAAAGGAAGGAUCAGGUAGAUAUACUAUCUGCAUCCCUUUUCAGAGUUCUUGUAAUUUUUUUAUGGUCUUGUAUAUAUAUAGUAUACUGCUAACAUAAUGGUUUUGUACCAAGAUAGACGAUUCGUAAGCGGAAAGAACCAAAUUUAAGAAAGUCAUCCAGUCUCCUCGAAAGAAGAAGGGUCAGGUCUUGAUUUCCAAGGUACCAUACUAACGAUAUCAGGGAUCGGAUUCUUGUUGUUGGAGAGUCUUGUGCAAGCAAAUGAGACAAGAAAAUAUGUUCUUCGGUGCUAAGGUGAUUAAAUUUCUUCAUCACCUCUUAACAUUCUCGUUAUUUGCUAACUUGAAGGGUUACGUUUUUUAGUCGGGUUCUUCGUUAUACAGCAUGAUCCGUCAAAGAUUAAUAACAAGAAAUGAAAAACCAGUCAGCCUCUAGAGUGGAUCCUUAUUCUACAAAAGAACAAAGUUCUUGCCAAGAGCAAAUGAGAGGUCUUAUAUCUUUCAGCUGCACUGUACAACAUUUCCAGAGAGGAUUUUGGGAUUUUGUAACCAAGAGCAUAUGAGAGGUGAGGUAAAGUAUUUCUUUUCCUCUAUUCUCAUGUGUAUUUUCUCAUGCAUUCGUUCCUACAGGUUAUUUGCAUUUGAUGAGCCUAGGUGGCUUGGCUUGUUUUGGUUACUCAAACUAUCUAGAAACACACAACUUCACGAACACAAAUACACUCAAAAACAAUCAGGAACAUUGUUAUAUAUUUCUAAUUGCAUUUAUUUAGUUUCUUGCUUCCAAACUUUUGUUUACAUCUUGAUCUUGUCAUUUCGUUUUGAUCAGGUUUUGAAACACUGUUAAAUCAUAUUUCUGCCAAGAUGAUGGUUGGAUUCUCUUUUCGACAUCUUAAUGCGUUUCAAGCGUUUUACAAUUUCUAUUCCUCUAGAGUGAGAUUGUUUUCCUAAGUCGAAGAGUUAUGUUUUUCAGUUGGGGGUUCUUCGUUAUACAGCAUGAUCUAUCAAGAUUAAAAGUAUAAAAAUUUUGCAAGGAGUUAGAUUUUGGCUCUGUAAAAUUUUGGUUGAGUAGGCAAAGAGCAAAUGACGGGUCGUGUCUCCUGCUUCAGCCUUCAUGCAGAUAUCUUUCAGGUCCAGAGAACAAAAUGGUAAGGUGAUUUUGUAGCCAGGAGCAUGAGAGGUCAGAUAUUUCUCCCUCUAUUCUCAUAUCUAUUUUGUCAUGCAUAGGUUCUCUGGGUCAUCUCAACAGGUUAUUUUCAUUUGAUUAGCCGAGCUGUCUUAGCUUGUUUUGAUUACUCACACUAUCUGAAAAUACACACGUUCACAGACACGAAAAACACACAAAUACAAUGCAUUCAAACUCAAAACACACCGAAAUACAACAAAACUCAAACACUACCAAAAAAAAUCACAUCACACACAACAAAACUCUAAACACUCUCAAACACAACAUAACACAAGAAAUAAAAUACAGCACACUGCAAAACUAGACACAAGAAAGAAAGAAGACAAUAAAUAACUUAACGAUUAAUAUCUUUUUUUAUUAUUGAUAAGAACUCUGAGAUUAUGUUGCCAAGUCAAUUUCAGGUGAAGUAUCUUUCUCUUCCCAUUUUUCUUUCUUUUCUUAGUCUUUUACAAACUAUUAAUCAUUUUGUUGGUCACAUUGAAUCUAAUUACUUUUUAUGCUGCUCUAAAAGUGAGAUUCAAGGGAGUACAAGCGAAAACAGUGUCCUGCAUACAAAAGUAAAUAGAAAAACACUAAGAGUUUUAAGAUUAACAGAAACAACAGGAGAAACGCAGUCGAAUCCCGGAUUGGAUCAUACUUAGUAAGAUUUCGAAUGGAGGACUCUUAAGCUGAAAAUAACUAAACUUAGGAGAGUGAUUCAGUUGCCUCGGAAAAGGGAAGGAUCAGGUAGAUAAACUGUCUUGAUCCUUUUUGUAGUUUUUUUUAUGGUCUUGUGUAUAUAGUAUACUGCUAGCAUAAUGGUUUUGUACCAAGGUAAAGGAUUCUUAAGAGGAAAAAUAACCCAAAUUUAAGAAAACCAUUCAGUCUCCCUGAAAGAAGAAGGGUCAGGUACAAUACAAAUGAAGUCAGGGAUCGGCUUCUAGUUGUUUGAGAGUCUUUUGCAAAUGAGACAACCAAAUACAUUCUACAGUGCUAAGCAUGAUCCGCCAAGAUUAAAUAACAAAAUUGAGAAACCAGUCAGGCUCUAGAUUGAUACCAGAGAGUGGAUUCUUAUUCUACAAAGAACAAAGUUCUUGCCAAGAGCAAAUGAGAGGUCAUAUAUCUUUCAGCUGCACAUAACAUUUCCAGGCGAUUUUGUAGCCAAGAGUAUAUGAGAGAGGUCAGGAUAUAGGAUUCUUAAGCUGAAAAAACUAAAUUCAAGGAAGUAAUUCAGUUGCUUCGAAAAAUGAAGGUUCAGAAAGUUUGUGGUGUUUAUUCCCUCAGCACUUCCUCUUACGGUAAUUCAAUCUCUUUGUCUUCGCUUAGUCUCUUACCCCAGUUGGCAUUUGAGUAGACUCUGCACAAUUCUCGUCGCUGAGAAACAGAACUUCAAGGAGAGAUUUAUCUGCCAAUGAGAAAAUGAAAGGUUAUGUAAACAAAUAAACUCUUUUAGUCUUCAUGCAUAUGUUUUGAGAAACAACAAAAAAGCAAAAUUCCAGGAGAAAAUUCAGUCACCAAGAAGGCAAGAACAAAUGACGGGCCAGGUUAAAACACAAA